rnacentral:pre_miRNA from 1 species
GCUUGACGAUCGGGCCUGGAGAGCCGACUCCUCCGGGACUCGAAAUCAAGCNN